GGGGAUGACGUCAAGUCAUCAUGGCCCUUACGACCAGGGCUACACACGUACUACAAUGGUAGGGACAGAGGGCUGCAAACCCGCGAGGGCAAGCCAAUCCCAGAAACCCUAUCUCAGUCCGGAUUGGAGUCUGCAACUCGACUCCAUGAAGUCGGAAUCGCUAGUAAUCGCAGAUCAGCAUUGCUGCGGUGAAUACGUUCCCGGGCCUUGUACACACCGCCCGUCACACCAUGGGAGUUUGUUGCACCAGAAGCAGGUAGCUUAACCUUCGGGAGGGCGCUUGCCACGGUGUGGCCGAUGACUGGGGUGAAGUCGUAACAAGGUAGCCGUAUCGGAAGGUGCGGCUGGAUCACCUCCUUU
rnacentral:rRNA from 1 species